AAGAAGUUGUACAGCAAACCCCCUAACCCUGGAUUUAAAAUCAAUUAAAAAAAAAAAAAGUUUUUAGACCCAGAUUUCAUAAAUUAAAUAAAACUGCGGGAGUUGAUUUAACUCUGAAAUUUCGUCAGGAAGUGGUUUGUUGUUACUUCCGCCGUAGUAACAGGAAGAAGAUGUCCCGACACGGCCGGACCGGAAGAGGGGAGUACGGCCUGCUGGAUGUUCUCUUGAGUCGGUACCGCAGCUCUAACACUGGCUUUGUCCCAACUCGGGGUCUGCACAUUUCAAGGACCCGCCCUUUGCGGUCUCACCCAAUGAGUGUACUUCGGUGCGCCCUGCAGGCCGCGUCAACUGUUGUUAAAUGGGACAGUCUACCCUUCGGAGCAUUUCCUGGGUGCGUCACCAGAUGUUCCCGCCUCUACUCGUACGUCACUAUUUAUGCAGCCCAGGUCUGUGAAAGUGACAAGAAGAGUAAAAUUUGACUGUCAGACCUGUUCGAGCUGCAGGAAUUCCUGAUUUCCUUUUUAAUCCUGCUCCAUGUGGAGGAAGAGGGGAAGUGGCUGGUUUAUGUCCGGCUGAGAGGACCGUGGAGAGUGACAUGGCAGCUGUGGAUGGAGUCAGAACUGCAGACCCAGUUGAUGGACGAUGUGGUGGACAGAGGACACUGGACCCCUAGACACCCUGCGUACCGACCCAGAUGAUGUCCCACUGACACCAUCCAGCCCAGCAGCACUGCAGGGACUUCUGCUCAGCCUGCUACUGUACAUCAUCUGUAACUGUUUUAAUAUUGUUUUUAAUAAUAGCUGUUUUUGUUAAUCGUGAAUAAUAAUCUGUAAAUGGUUAUUCAUGCUGUAAUUUUGUCAAUAGUUGAAAACAUUCAAUCAUUUGUUGUCCCUGAAAAGUAGCACUUGAUGCUGUUUUCUGUUAUAAAUUGUACUUAUACUGGAAUGGAUGAAUGGAAUAGACAAGGUGUAACAAUACAAUCAUUUUUUUUUUAUCAGACCUGAGGUCAGUAUGUUGGAUGUUUUCUCUGAAUCAGCUAUCAGACCUGAGUCCAACUGAAAGUCAUCGCCACUGUUUCUUGUAAAACAUGAGCACUAACCUUAACCUUAACUUGCCACCUGAUUGGAUCAAUAUACUGCUAUCUUAUUUAUGGUGACCCUGAAGUGCAAAACACAACAGCAAAUCAGAAAACAAAAUCACAAAUCAGAAAACACAACAACAUGACGUCCAUCUGUUGAACCGGAAGGACAUGGUUUACAUGUUUUCAAAAUAAGAGCACUGCCACUGAUGACUUAAGCGCCGCUAUUAAAGAAUAUUUUGAUGAAGAACAUG